GCGCCAGAGCACAGGGUUGCGUGUAACUGGGGCCGCCUGCCCUCACCGCGGGCGGCCCUUUUAACUGCAAGUAACAGGG